rnacentral:rRNA from 1 species
GGAGGGAAAGGCAGUGGAAUGAAGCGGCGGACGGGUGGAGUAACAACGUAAAGAAACCUGCCUCCAAAGGAUUGGGAAUAACUCCGAGGAAAAUCGGAGGCUAAUAACCGGAUAGUCAAUCGGACCGCAUGGUCCGUUGAUGAAAGGCGCUCCGGCGUCACCUUGAGAUGGCCUUGCGGUGCAUUAGCUAGUUGGUGGGGUAACGGCCCCACCAAGGCGACGAUGCAUAGCCGACCUGAGAGGGUGAUCGGCCCACACUGGGACUGAGACACGGCCCAGACUCCUACGGGAGGCAGCAGUAGGGAAUCUUCCACAAUGGACGAAAGUCUGAUGGAGCAACGCCGCGUGAGUGAUGAAGGUUUUCGGAUCGUAAAACUCUGUUGUAAGGGAAGAACACGUACGAGAGGAAAUGCUCGUACCUUGACGGUACCUUACGAGAAAGCCACGGCUAACUACGUGCCAGCAGCCGCGGUAAUACGUAGGUGGCAAGCGUUGUCCGGAAUUAUUGGGCGUAAAGCGCGCGCAGGCGGCCUUUUAAGUCUGAUGUGAAAGCCCCCGGCUCAACCGGGGAGGGCCAUUGGAAACUGGAAGGCUUGAGUACAGAAGAGAAGAGUGGAAUUCCACGUGUAGCGGUGAAAUGCGUAGAGAUGUGGAGGAACACCAGUGGCGAAGGCGACUCUUUGGUCUGUAACUGACGCUGAGGCGCGAAAGCGUGGGGA